rnacentral:rRNA from 1 species
GACGAACGCUGGCGGCGUGCUUAACACAUGCAAGUCGAACGGAAAGGCCCUGCUUUUGUGGGGUGCUCGAGUGGCGAACGGGUGAGUAACACGUGAGUAACCUGCCCUUGACUUUGGGAUAACUUCAGGAAACUGGGGCUAAUACCGGAUAGGAGCUCCUGCUGCAUGGUGGGGGUUGGAAAGUUUCGGCGGUUGGGGAUGGACUCGCGGCUUAUCAGCUUGUUGGUGGGGUAGUGGCUUACCAAGGCUUUGACGGGUAGCCGGCCUGAGAGGGUGACCGGCCACAUGGGGACUGGGAUACGGCCCAGACCCCUACGGGAGGCAGCGGGGGGGAAUAUUGCAAAAUGGGCGGAAGCCUGAUGCAGCAACGCCGCGGGGGGGAGGAGGGCCUUGGGGUUGUAAACCGCUUUCGCCUGUGACGAAGCGGGAGUGACGGGAAUGGGGAAAGAAGCACCGGCUAACUACGU